CAUUGUUGACAAAAUACUUCUGCCGAAAAAGUCACUCGUUUCCACAACACCACACAAUAGUUCCUACAACAUUUGGGGCCACAAUGGCACCAAUUUCAUCUUUUAUUAGUGCCGCAAAACCAACCUACUGCCAUAAAUCACUUUUGGAAACGAGUUAACCAGCACUAGAACUGGUUACGAGGUGCUUUUCGCCUUGGAAGCACUAGAGAUAUCUUCUAUCUUUAACGCUUCUUGGCACCAGGUUUUGCAUAGCACCAAGAUAGAUCUCUACCACUGCUUGAACAAGCACCAACAACAAAAUAUUUUACGCACAAAGCAGAGGUAACUGAAACCAUUCACGUGGUUGUUCUCCACCUAUACCUUCACCCAUCGGUGGUUGAUUUUAUCUACCUUGUCUGUGCUGCCCGUUCAAUCCCCGAAGCAAAGGUGUGCGAAGUUCAUUCUCCUUGAAGCUAAUCAUACCGGCAUUGAUCAUCUCUAUCCGACAACAAGGGAUAUUCACCUUUGAUCUUCUUUGCCCAGUGAUAGAGAUCAUGAAUCAGGAACAAGGCCUCAGAAGGUGGAAUUGAGCCUUCUAGAGCUCACCUCUAGGUGCAAACGCGUACGUCAGACAAUGUGCUACAUCAUAAUACUAAGAGACAAGCAUUGACUGUAAGGAUAAGAUUAAGGAAAUGCCCACUAGAAUGCCAGAUGGUGAAAUAGAUCCACAAUCAUGGAUACAUGCACUGACCCAAGCACUAGGUGUGGACAAAUAUGGACGUGUUUGCACAUGUGGAAGCAUCAGAGGUGUUGGAAAGAAUGUCUGCUUGUCAUGAACUUUUAGCAAAAAAUGUGGCUUUAGAGGUAAAAUCAGUAAACAAGAAGGAAAAAUCGAAUCUCUUAAAAAGACAGUUGUCAAGAUCCCAGUUUUGGAGGAGAAAAUAGAAAGACUUCUUACUACAAAGACCAGCAUUGAUCAGCUUUUCACACUUAGAGGUGAAAGCCAGCAACUUUCUUCACAGAAUUGGAGCUAAGCUUGACAAAAAUUGAAGGUGGCAGAAAUGGAAUGAUUCUGUAAAAUCAAACAUGUGGUGGAGGCUCUUGAGCUAUCUAUGCUGACCUUCCGAUCAAUUGUGGCAAACUGUCUGGAUAAUCAGUAAGGGAAUCUUCAAGGGCAAACCAUUAUUUUAUACUGCGGUAGCCAGAACUGCUGGAGGACUGGAUGCUCUGGUUGGGAAAUUUCAGCACUAGCUGAUACUGCAGCUCUUACUGCCCCACUCUCACCUAUUUCUUGUUGAUUUAGACGAGGUUCUGCUUUAAUUGCAUAGAAUACUGUGUUUCUGCAAAAAGUCAGCAAUUUCAUGUUUGGAUAGUCAUUACAUCCUCUGUCACAAGGAUCCCACCUUUUAUGAGAAACUGCAUCUUUUGAUAGAGCGAUGUAAUGUUCAUUCCUGCAGUAAAUGGGCUCCCACAUCAAUGAAUGUGGUCCAAUCGCAUUUUUCUGAUACUGACCUUUGUUUCAGCCCUGUGAUAAGAGCUCUUCGUAAUUUCAUGUGAAAUGGACUGAAAGAAAUACCACCUCAUAAGCAUAAUAUAAAAGUAGUAGUAAGCCAUUCCAAGCCGAGACAAAGGUCAACAAACAUGUGAUCCUCUGUGGACUUACAAAGUUCUGUACAACCAUUAACCUUUGCUAGGUUUACCUUUCAUUCUUCCAACUGUUAUGAGCUUCUGCAGGAUGACAAGGCACCGCAGAUGGGGAUGUUGCAGCCAUGAAGUUUAUAUUCAGGUAGUUUUAUCGAGUUUCAGCAGUUCCUGGAUCCUGGACCAAGGAAUUCUGUUGCAGAACUAAAUUUUUUGGCAGAUUUUUCAUAGUACGUGGUCGUGGGUGCUGGUGCAUUGGGUAGUUUCAGUUUCAAAACUGAUCAAACGGUGGUUGUUGUUGGAUUGUUGCCUGAGAGUGUGAAGAACACUUGUAAGCUUUUUUUCCAUUGAGAAUUACACACUGGUACAUGCUAUCUGAACACAAAUUGUUCUGUCCUUGUGAUAGUAUCUACAGUUUCAUUGAACAUGAAGUAAUGGUCUUAAGAGCUUUACUAGGCAUCUGACCAUCUAUUGCAUAACCCUCCAAGGUGUCCAAUUUAUGAACAGAAAGGCUAUAGGUACUAUUCAAUUACACUAUGUUGAUGGGAAGAGAGAGUCAUGACCAGCAUGUUCUUCGAGGGCUAUAACAAAGUGGGUCUUUGUCUGAUAUCUUCAACAUGUCAUUCUUCAGUGUUGACAUUGUGGCGAUCUGGAAAACCUUGAA